rnacentral:rRNA from 1 species
GACGAACGCUGGCGGCGUGGAUUAGGCAUGCAAGUCGAACGGUAGGAUACCUUCGGGUAUCUGAGAGUGGCGAACGGGUGAGUAACACGUAGGUGAUCUACCCUCAAGAUUGGGACAACCCAGGGAAACUUGGGCUAAUACCGGAUGAAAGCAGCAGUGAUGUUGUUUGAAAGGUGGCGUAAGCUGCCGUUUGGGGAUGAGCCUGCGCUCUAUUAGUUAGUUGGCGGGGUAAAGGCCCACCAAGGCGAUGAUAGAUAGGCGGCCUUAACGGGUGGUCGCCCACACUGGGAUUGAGAUACGGCCCAGACUCCUACGGGAGGCAGCAGUCGAGAAUAGUCUACAAUGGUCGAAAGACUGAUAGUGCGACGCCGCGUGAACGAAGAAGCCCUUCGGGGUGUAAAGUUCUUUUAUAUGUGAGCAGUGCUUCUUAUAUUAACAGUAUGGGGAGAGAGAUAUUAGCAUAUGAAUAAGCAACGGCUAACUCCGUGCCAGCAGCCGCGGUAA